UACGUAGGAUGCAAGCGUUGUUCAGAAUUACUGGGCGUAAAGAGUACGUAGGCGGUUUGAUAAGUCUGCUAUUAAAGACUGGAGCUUAACUCCAGGACUGUAGUGGAAACUGUCAGACUAGAGGACAAUAGAGGAAGUCGGAAUUCUCAGUGUAGCGGUGAAAUGCGUAGAUAUUCGCAAGAACACCAGUGGCGAAGGCGGCUCACUGGCCCGGUACUGACGCUGAGGUGCGAAAGCGUGGGGAGCAAACAGG
rnacentral:rRNA from 1 species